rnacentral:rRNA from 1 species
ACUGCUCAGUAACACGUGGACAACCCACCCUCAGCACGGGGAUAAGCCCGGGAAACUGGGUAUAAUACCCGAUAGUUCUGGUAUGCUGGAAUGCUAUCAGGACGAAAGCUCCGGCGACUGAGGAUGGGUCUGCGGCCUAUCAGGUAGUAGUGGGUGUAAUGUACCUACUAGCCUACGACGGGUACGGGUCGUGAGAGCGAGAGCCCGGAGAUGGAUUCUGAGACACGAAUCCAGGCCCUACGGGGUGCAGCAGGCGCGAAAACUUUACAAUGCUGGCAACAGCGAUAAGGGGACCUCGAGUGCCAGGAUACAAUCUUGGCUGUCGUGAUGCCUAAAAAGCAUUACAUAGCAAGGGCCGGGCAAGACCGGUGCCAGCCGCCGCGGUAACACCGGCGGCUCGAGUGGUAACCGCUAUUAUUGGGUCUAAAGGGUCUGUAGCCGGCCGGAUAAGUCUUUUGGGAAAUCCAGCAGCUCAACUGUUGGGCUUCCAGAAGAUACUGUUCGGCUCGAGGCCGGGAGAGGUGAGAGGUACUUCAGGGGUAGGGGUGAAAUCUUGUAAUCCUUGAAGGACCACCAGUGCGAAGGCGUCUCACCAGAACGGUCCUGACGGCAAGGGACGAAAGCUAGGGGCACGAACCGGAUUAGAUACCCGGGUAGUCCUAGCCGUAAACGAUACUCGCUAGGUGUCAGCCACGGUGCGACCGUGGUUGGUGCCGUAGGGAAGCCGUGAAGCGAGCCACCUGGGAAGUACGGCCGCAAGGCUGAAACUUAAAGGAAUUGGCGGGGGAGCAC